rfam:Rattus norvegicus strain BN/SsNHsdMCW Contig156380, whole genome shotgun sequence.
UUUAUUUUGUUCCUCAACAUUAAGGUAACUGCAAACAUAUUGUCGAAAGAAAAUAAAAGGUACGUCUCCAGCUUCGGUCUGCAAUAACUUAAAGAAGCAGACUCGGG